AAGAUUCUUACACUUCUAUUUAAGGUGAAUGUCUUUAAUGUAUCUAAUUAGAGAGAUAUUAGAGUUCUAUUAGUGGUAACUAAGUCUUCCUCUCCCCUAUAAAUAGAGGUGCCCCUAUCAUUGUAAAUCAUCCCUUGAGACUCCUCUCAACUCAAUAAGAAGAACUCUCUCUACUCUUCUCUCUAUUGCUAUUGUUCUUGUUCUAUUGUUCUUGUCUUUUGCUUUAGUUUAUAACAAAUU
rnacentral:lncRNA from 1 species